UAGGGAAUCUUCCGCAAUGGACGCAAGUCUGACGGAGCAACGCCGCGUGAGUGAAGAAGGAUUUCGGUUCGUAAAACUCUGUUGUUAGAGAAGAACAGCGCAUAGAGUAACUGUUAUGCGUGUGACGGUAUCUAACCAGAAAGCCACGGCUAACUACGUGCCAGCAGCCGCGGUAAUACGUAGGUGGCAAGCGUUGUCCGGAAUUAUUGGGCGUAAAGAGCUUGUAGGCGGUUCGUCGCGUCUGGUGUGAAAGCCCAUCGCUUAACGGUGGGUUUGCGCCGGGUACGGGCGGGCUAGAGUGCAGUAGGGGAGACUGGAAUUCUCGGUGUAGCGGUGGAAUGUGUAGAUAUCGGGAAGAACACCAAUGGCGAAGGCAGGUCUCUGGGCUGUUACUGACGCUGAGAAGCGAAAGCGUGGGGAGCGAACAGG
rnacentral:rRNA from 1 species